rnacentral:rRNA from 1 species
AUGAACGCUGGCGGCGUGCCUAAUACAUGCAAGUCGAGCGAACAGACGAGGAGCUUGCUCCUCUGACGUUAGCGGCGGACGGGUGAGUAACACGUGGAUAACCUACCUAUAAGACUGGGAUAACUUCGGGAAACCGGAGCUAAUACCGGAUAAUAUAUUGAACCGCAUGGUUCAAUAGUGAAAGACGGUUUUGCUGUCACUUAUAGAUGGAUCCGCGCCGCAUUAGCUAGUUGGUAAGGUAACGGCUUACCAAGGCAACGAUGCGUAGCCGACCUGAGAGGGUGAUCGGCCACACUGGAACUGAGACACGGUCCAGACUCCUACGGGAGGCAGCAGUAGGGAAUCUUCCGCAAUGGGUGAAAGCUUGACGGAGCAACGCCGCGUGAGUGAUGAAGGUCUUCGGAUCGUAAAACUCUGUUAUUAGGGAAGAACAAAUGUGUAAGUAACUAUGCACGUCUUGACGGUACCUAAUCAGAAAGCCACGGCUAACUACGU